CACCGAGACCAUCGCCAUUUACUCCCCCAAUUAAAACGUCUUUUAGAAAAAUGAAUACUUCCGUUACUCUUUCGUUCACAAUUGUGGCGUAUCCUCCACCAAAUGGUAAAUCGGCAUAUUCUUGGCGAAAGCUUGUUGAACAAUACUGGGAACCAAUAAAUAAUGCCAGCAGACAUCAGAUCAGCAUAUCAGACGACAGACUGCAGUCAAGUCUGUUAUUGACACAACUACAAAAUGACGACUUUACAAACUAUUCGGUUCGUGUUUACAAUGACCUUGGUUUUACAGAACAUGUGUUUGUCCUUCGAGAAAAUGAGCCACCCGCUAUGCCUCAAGGAUUUCACGUUAUUUACGCCAUGGUAACGGAAGAUUCUUUGACAAUUGAAUGGAUGCCUGGAAUGAACGGGAAUGAAGACCAAAAGUACAUAAUAGGUUAUAAAAAAGUAGCCGAUGAGACUUGGACUUACAAAACCGUAAAGUCAACAGUAUCUCGAGUGACUAUCGUUGAAUUAGCUACGGGCACCACGUACGACGUCAAACUGUAUGCAGAAAAUUAUGUAGGAAAAUCGAAUGAGAC